rnacentral:rRNA from 1 species
UACGAGGGAGGCUAGCGUUGUUCGGAAUUACUGGGCGUAAAGCGCGCGUAGGCGGCUUUGUAAGUUAGAGGUGAAAGCCCGGAGCUCAACUCCGGAACUGCCUUUAAAACUGCAUCGCUUGAAUCCAGGAGAGGUGAGUGGAAUUCCGAGUGUAGAGGUGAAAUUCGUAGAUAUUCGCAAGAACACCAGUGGCGAAGGCGGCUCACUGGUCCGGUACUGACGCUGAUGUGCGAAAGCGUGGGGAGCAAACAGG